GCGUGGAGCGCGCGUGCGCGGCGGGACGCAGUAGCUGCUGAAGCUCACGCUGCCCCAAGGGCAGAAGAGGCCGCGGGGCUCCCUGCAGAAGAAAGAACAAGGAAGGAAGGAACAAAAGGAUCAAUGAAAAGUGAAGGGGGGAAGGGAAGGAAAAGACUUAGAAGGAGAAGUAAAGGUAACUGAAUAGCCCCUCCUGGAGACAGCGUGAGGUCGGAUCCACAGUUAAGACUGCAAUGGUUCUGCAUACCAGCUACACUUUAGAAUGACUUCGGGAGACUUUUUCAAACAUAGCAAUGACAGGCCAUGUCACAGAGCAAUUCACUCAAAGUCUCUGGAGGUGCAGUCUGAGCUCACCAGAGAUUUCCUGAGUCUCCAGCUGGCAGAGAGCAGAUUGUGCGACUUGUCAGCCUCCAUAAUUAGAAUGCAAGCCACAUGAGGCCAGGACUCUGUCUACUCACUACUUACUCGGCACCUAGAAUAUUCCUAAAAUAAACCACGCCCCUUCGAUGUAUCAAGCACGGCAUUCAACAUCCACAGGCAACAGAGAUGAAGAUCACAUGGAUCCUUUCAUCAAGCAACUCACCAGAGAAUGGAAAGGACAUUCACUGUGAUCAAAGUAGAGUGGGAUAAACACUUUGCCAGAAGUA